rnacentral:rRNA from 1 species
AUGCCGCGGGACACGGAUCUGGAACGGCUGACGGCGUUCGCCAAGGACUACGCUCAGCUCUACGCGCGCUUUGCGAAUCACUUCGCCAUCCCGGAGAGAGCUACCAUCGACGGUUUUGCGGAGCUGUUUGAUGCGAGCCACAUCGAGUACCUCCACUACUGCGGCGGCACGACGCUCGAACGUCCGUUCUUUCCCGCCAUCACAAGUGAGCUUCUCAUGCUGAGCUCUGCCUACCUGUCGAUUCCGGAGGCAGUGGCACCGCGCGGGGCUCGUACGUUUGGGCUGCUUCUGAGUUUCUUCAUCUAUUCCACUCAGCCUGCACGACAGCAGCCCAAGGUGCCGGCUAGUGUCACCACGGAAGGGGCGUCGUUGCCGCCAGUCCAAACAACUGCGUCGCUUGUGGAAUCCACCCUACCCCGCAGUGGAGGACCGCGAGCGGCCCGCAUCGCGAUGAUGGCGGACAGCCUCACCAGCUCAAGCACUCAGCAGCCGCAGUCUUGCAGCGCAGCAGAGGGAACGGCAGCCACUGCACCACCGUCUCCGCCUGUCCCGUCGUCCCUGCGUCUUCCGAUGCAGCCAGUGCCAGUGAGUGUCAGCUGUAUGCGCUUAUUGCUCUCCCGUCUGUUCAUUGACGCAGGAUCGGGGGUCAUGUCUGGGCAGUCCUGUGCAGAAGCUCCGCCUCUACGCACAGCAGCGGCAGCCGCUCCAGCGUCCGCCUCGCCGGCUCAGCUGUCCCAUACGGAGGCCAAGGUGGUGCUGGCGCUGCGCCGCGCCACUGGGUGGCAUAUUGAGCCCUACCUGCAGCAAGGAAAGCACAUUUCUGCGCUCUUGUCCGCUCAUCAGGCGUGCGCGGUGCCGCUCGUGCAGCACGUCACGCCUCUCCCGCGCUCUCUCUUUGCGGCUACACUGACAGCACGUUCGAUGCUGAAUGCGUCGGCGGCACCGGAGGAGAUAGGCGGGUCCGACAGCCUCUUUCGCGACCCGGACUUUGUGCGACUGCGACAGGGAUACGAAGCAGCGCGCCGGCGACUGCUACUUGGGGAGCGCCGGUGA